UACGGAGGUGGCAAGCGUUGUCCGGAAUUACUGGGCGUAAAGCGUGCGCAGGCGGUCCGCAAAGUCUGAUGUGAAAGCCCCGGGCUCAACCUGGGAACUGCAUUGGAAACUAACGGGCUCGAGUGUGGCAGAGGGGGGUGGAAUUCCACGUGUAGCAGUGAAAUGCGUAGAGAUGUGGAGGAACACCGAUGGCGAAGGCAGCCCCCUGGGUCAAGAUUGACGCUCAUGCACGAAAGCGUGGGGAGCAAACAGG
rnacentral:rRNA from 1 species